AUGGUGCGCGCCAGAGUCGCCGCGUCGCAGGCGGACAUGCUGCAGGUGCGCAACAUGGUGCGCCGCGCGCGGCUCAUCUUCGAGGCGCUCCGGGGCCGCUGCCACCGCAACACCGAGCACCACCACGCGGGCCGCAACCGGGCCGACAUGCGGGCCCUCAGCGCCAUGAUCGACGGGGAGCUCUGCCUCUACCGCGACGUGCGCAUCGUGGGCCCCGUCCCCGGCGUCCUCGUCGGCGACGCCUUCAACUACCGCGCCGAGCUCCUCGUCGUCGGCCUGCACUGCCACACCCAGGCCGGCAUCGGAUACGUGCCCGCCAGCCAGGUCAGCGAGGGCCACCCCGUCGCCACCAGCAUCGUGUCCUCGGGCGGGUACCUCGAUGACCACGACAACGGGGACGUCUUGAUGUACACCGGGAGCGGCGGCCGUCCGCGCAACGGCGGUGACCACCUCUCCGACCAGGAGUUCCAGCGGGGCAAUCUCGCCCUGUCCUACAGCUACAACUACGACGUCGAGGUGCGCGUCAUCCGCUGCCACGACUGCGACGCCAGCCCCAGCGGCAAGCUCUACGUCUACGACGGCCUCUACAAGGUCCAAUCCACCACCUACGGCCCUGGCAAGUCCGGCCGCGAGGUCUGCCGGUUCAAGCUCGUCCGCCUGCCAGGCCAGGACGCGCUCGGCAGCAACACCUGGCGCGCCGCCAGAGACCUCACCGACGCGCUCGUCGCCAAGAUCCGGCCGCCCGGCUACCUCACGAUGGACAUGUCCAAGGGCAAGGAGGCUGUGCCCGUCCCCGUCCGCAACACGGUGGACCAGGACGUCUCUCCCCUCGAGUUCGAGUACCUCGCAUGCUCCGAGUUCCCGGCGCCGCCCAAACCGGUGAGGCGCGGCCACAAGUGCUGCAUCUACUCCAAGACGGCGUGCAGCGAGAUGUCGUCCAAGUGCGCGCCGUCCGGCUGCGCCUGCGUGAAGAGGAGCGGCGGGGGCGGCCCGGCGUACAGUGCCGACGGCACGCUCGUGAGGGGACGGCCGGUGGUGUACGAGUGCGGCGCGAGGUGCGGGUGCCCACCCAGGAGCUGCCCCAACCGCGUGACGCAGCGGGGGAUGAAGCACCGGCUGGAGGUGUUCCGGUCCAAGGAGACGGAGUGGGGCGUGAGGACGCUGGACCUGAUCCAGCCGGGCGCCUUCCUCUGCGAGUUCACCGGAGACGUGCUCCCCGCGGAUCACCCCCGCAUUGCCAACGCGAACACCAAUGCCAGUACCGGCGCGUCAAUGGAGGAGUGGGGAGGCAUCGUCGACCCGAGAAAGUUCCCGCCGAGGUGGAGGGAGUGGGGGGACGCCCCCGCGGCCGUGCUUCCGGACGACGGCGAGGAACCACCCCGGUUCGCGCAGUGCCCGGCGCCGGGGUACGUGAUCGACGUGUCCAAGAGGAGGAACUUCGCGGCCUACAUAAGCCAUAGCCGCGCACCGAACGCGUUCGUCCAGCUGGUGGUCCGCGGCGACGAGGACGAGUCGUGCCCCCACCUGAUGGUCUUCGCCAUGGAGACCAUCCCACCCAUGCGCGAGCUCAGCAUCGACUACGGCGUCGAUCAGUGA
rnacentral:rRNA from 1 species